rnacentral:lncRNA from 1 species
CCGUUUACUGUGUUUUGUAAUUGAUAAAUAAAAAACUAUUCAUGGUAAUAUACCUAGUAUUUUACCUUUAGUUCCCAAAGACUUUUGCACAACAAUGUAUGUAUUAAAAUCACAGCAAGAGGAUAACUGUGUUAUAGGUUUGUUUCGCCUACUUCCAUGAAGGAUGUUAUUACAUGGGGUUGUACAUGUAUAGCCUGCUGUGUGUGAGUGGGAGUACAGUUUCCAAAGGUGGGUGUUGGAACAGCAGAGGUCUCUCUCAGAGCCGGGCUGACACCGGCUACACCUCAGAUGUGGUUUGAAAUAUGUCAAGCAGGAUGCCUUUUUUGUGACGCCUGCUUUAAUUAAACUGCCCCUUUACUGUUUGCAGUCCCAAGAGAAGGAGACUGGAACAUUUUCCCUGGAUCUGAUGCCUGGAGGCUCAAUGAGCCAGUCACAUAGAUUGCAUGGAAAAGAGCCCAACCUCUGGAGAAACAGCAUACCUGAAGGCCGGAGCCACAGGGGAACUGGAGGGGCAGGCAGGGAGACAGUAGAGGGAGACAGCAUCAGCUACCGCGGAGAUCGCCAUCAUCCUGAAGAAGAGCCUGAGGGUGAUGAUGAGAACCAGAACUAAAACUUGUUAUUGUAUCGUAUUCAUUAUAAUAUACAAUUGAAUAUAUAUGCAACCCUGCAGCGAUCAUUGUUUUUGCAAAAAAAAAUGUUCAAAAGGUCUUUAAAAGAUCAGUGUUUAACACUUCUUUUCAGUCCCUAAUCUGUUUUUUUGUUCUUCUCCUUUUUUUUUAAACAGCAUAAACUGUAAAAACAGGUUAAUCGGAAACCUACACUGAUCCCCACAGGCAUCUCCCAAACGAGUGUUAACUUAAGAGUUUGAGGCCACAGAAAUUUGCCCUUCCUAAUACACAACUCCCUGUAAAAGGCAUGUUAUUUAUACAUAAUUGAUUUGGCAUUGUUUGGCUCAUUCACACUACAAUGCAAGAUCGGUGUUUUGAAAUGUAUCCACUCCGGAGAGUGCGUUUGAAAAGCAGUAUUUCUUCGGUGUGAAAAACGCUGGCUUAGUGUGGACAUGACAG